rnacentral:rRNA from 1 species
GUGGGGAAUAUUGCACAAUGGGCGAAAGCCUGAUGCAGCAACGCCGCGUGAGCGAAGAAGGUCUUCGGAUUGUAAAGCUCUGUCCUAAGGGAAGAAGGAAGUGACGGUACCUUAGGAGGAAGCCCCGGCUAACUACGUGCCAGCAGCCGCGGUAAUACGUAGGGGGCAAGCGUUAUCCGGAAUUAUUGGGCGUAAAGAGUGCGUAGGUGGUUACCUAAGCGCGGGGUGAAAGGCAAUGGCUUAACCAUUGUUAGCCCUGCGAACUGGGCUACUUGAGUGCAGGAGAGGAAAGCGGAAUUCCUAGUGUAGCGGUGAAAUGCGUAGAUAUUAGGAGGAACACCAGUGGCGAAGGCGGCUUUCUGGACUGUAACUGACACUGAGGCACGAAAGUGUGGGGAGCAAACAGGA